GUGCUGACCAUGCUGGGUGUCCUGGCAUCAGGGGCAUUCCAGCGGAUGCUGGCUGAUCGGUCAGGAGUGUGCCAGUCAACUUUGCGCCGAGCCGCAAUCAUCUGAAUCUCAUCCACGUACAUUCCAACAUUACAGCGCAUUGUGCAGCGAGAGCCAGUUUCCCGAAUGUAAUCGGAGCUAUUAACUGCACACAUUUUGCUAUAAAGGCGCCAUCACAUGAUGAAUUUGUUUCUGUUCAUAGG